ACGAACGCUGGCGGCGUGCCUAAUACAUGCACGUCGCACGCUUCUUUCCUCCCGAGUGCUUGCACUCAAUUGGAAAGAGGAGUGGCGGACGGGUGAGUAACACGUGGGUAACCUACCCAUCAGAGGGGGAUAACACUUGGAAACAGGUGCUAAUACCGCAUAACAGUUUAUGCCGCAUGGCAUAAGAGUGAAAGGCGCUUUCGGGUGUCGCUGAUGGAUGGACCCGCGGUGCAUUAGCUAGUUGGUGAGGUAACGGCUCACCAAGGCCACGAUGCAUAGCCGACCUGAGAGGGUGAUCGGCCACACUGGGACUGAGACACGGCCCAGACUCCUACGGGAGGCAGCAGUAGGGAAUCUUCGGCAAUGGACGAAAGUCUGACCGAGCAACGCCGCGUGAGUGAAGAAGGUUUUCGGAUCGUAAAACUCUGUUGUUAGAGAAGAACAAGGACGUUAGUAACUGAACGUCCCCUGACGGUAUCUAACCAGAAAGCCACGGCUAACUACGUG
rnacentral:rRNA from 1 species